rnacentral:rRNA from 1 species
UACAGGGGGUGCAAACGUUGCUCAGAAUCAUUGGGCGUAAAGCGCACGUAGGCGGUCUGUUAUGUCGGAUGUGAAAGCCCUUGGCUUAACUGAGGAAGUGCAUCCGAAACUGGCAGGCUAGAGUACUAAAGAGGGUCGCGGAAUUCCCGGUGUAGAGGUGAAAUUCGUAGAUAUCGGGAGGAACACCGGUGGCGAAGGCGGCGACCUGGGUAGGUACUGACGCUGAGGUGCGAAAGCGUGGGGAGCAAACAGG